AACGCACGAGACCUGCGGACCUGCGGAAGGAUCAUUACCGAGUUAUCCAACUCCCAACCCCUGUGAAUUAUACCUUUAAUUGUUGCUUCGGCGGGACUUCGCGCCCGCCGGGGACCCAAACCUUCUGAAUUUUUUAAUAAGUAUCUUCUGAGUGGUUAAAGAAAUGAAUCAAAACUUUCAACAACGGAUCUCU
rnacentral:misc_RNA from 1 species